AUAUAUUUAUAUUUAUAUUAUAUAAGAAAAAAACCACAUAGAAGAUUGUGUCUUGCUGUUACUUAUGUUGUUUUUGUUGAUGUUGUUGUUGUUGUUGUUGACGAUUAUCCAUUCUUUGUAGUGGAUCUGAGAAAUCUACUUCUCUGACGCUCCUAAGAUAGAGAGAGAGAUUACAGAGAGAGAAAACACAGAGAGAGAGAGAGUGAGAGAGAGAGAGAGAGUGAAGUGUUGUUGAGAGAGCAUAUGCAUAGCAUAGAGACCAAAACCUACGGCUACUGGUAAGGUAUGUUGUUGUAACAAAUAACUCCACCAUCAUCGCCGUCACUACCAUUUCUUGAUACCCUUUACUCUUUUAGUUUCAAAAGUAACUUCAAAAUUUGAUUUUUCUUUAAGAUUUCUGAAAUGGGUUCUUGUGAAGCAACAAAUGUAGUUCUUGCUAAAGUCAAAAACUUUGACCCUGAAAAUGCUUCAAAAAUCAUGGGUUAUCUUCUGAUGAAUCUUGAAGAAUAUGAAUUAGUACGUUUAGCAUGUUGUCCUGACCAUGUUAUUCAUAAUCUUGCUAUUAGGGUCAAAACCCAUUUGGGUAUGACACUUUCUACCCCUUCAUCUCCUUCUCCUCUUAACCCAAUUGGUAGAAUUGUUUCUUCUUCUACAAACCCAUUUUCAAAAUCUUCUCCUAGAGGUGGUACUAAUGGUUUUGACUUCAAUAGGAACCCUCCUUCACCUUCUUCCAAUGUUUGGCCACCACCCUCUUUUCAAAAGAAUCCAAUUAGUCCAAAGUUUAACCCUUUACUCUCUUUUGAGAAUAUCCAAGGUGGUGGUGUUGGUGUUGGUGUUGGUUCUAGUUCUUUCUCACCAAGGGUUAAUAAUGGUGAUUGUGAUUUUGUUGAUGAGCAACAGUUGAAUGAGUAUUUUCCUUUUCUUAAUGAGGGGUCUAACGGCGACGAUGUGGUCGAUCCGCGUCUUGAAAUGAGUCUUGGUGGUCAGAAUUGGAUCUCUGGUAACAAUGGUGAUACUCAUAAUAUUCACAGGAGGAGUUAUUCUGCAAAUGAUGCUAGUUUUGGUGUUGAAGAAAGUGGACUAGGAUUUGGUUUUAAACCAUGUCUUUACUUUGCUAGAGGGUUUUGUAAAAAUGGUUCUAAUUGCAAGUUUGUUCAUGGUGAUUCAAUUGAUGCUAAUUCUGCUGCUAUUGUUGGUUCACCCUCUAAGUUUGAGGGAUUGGAACAGCAUGAAGAGUUCAUGAGGUUUAAGGCUGCUCAGCAUCAAAGAUUGGUUGCUGCAUCACAACUUGCUGCUGGUGGAACAUCGCCGUCUUCGUACGACAAGUACAUUGACUUUCUGAUGCAGCAGCACAAUGAUAACCAAAGAGCUGCGGCUGCAGCAGCGUUUAUGAUGGGUGAAGAAUAUUACAACAUUAGUGGACGCGGCAGGCCCGAAAGGAACGAGUUUCUUGCUAUGGUUGCUGGUGAUAAGCCAAACUCCGCUUCGCGACAGAUUUAUUUAACCUUUCCUGCUGAAAGCACAUUCAAAGAUGAAGAUGUUUCGGAGUACUUUAGCAAAUAUGGACCUGUCCAAGAUGUGAGAAUUCCUUACCAGCAAAAGCGUAUGUUCGGUUUUGUUACCUUUGUCUUUCCUGAGACAGUGAGAAUGAUAUUAUCGAAAGGGAAUCCUCAUUUUAUAUGUGAUUCACGCGUGCUUGUGAAACCCUACAAGGAGAAGGGAAAAGUUCCUGACAAGAGACAACAUCAACAACAGCAAUUAGAGAGGGGAGAUUUUUCACCAUGUUUAAGUCCCUCCGGAUUUGACUCUAAAGAACAUUUUGAUUUCCAUCCCGGAGCAAGAAUGUUGAACAAUCCGCAUGAUAUCUUAUUGAGAAGAAAAAUGGAGGAGCAGGCUGAGUUGCAGCAAGUCCUUGAAUUCCAACAAAUGAGGCUGAAGAGUCUGCAGCUUCCAGAUUUCAAGAAUAAUCCGAUUUACCACCACCAGCGCAGUUUCUCUGUUGGGGCUCCUUUGGCUUUUCCGCAUCAACUUCAUAGCCAUGUUAACCAUGCAGGUCUUUCUUCUGAUGACAUUCAAGGGGACAUUACAGGCUAUGGUGGCAGCCUCACUUCUGCUGGUUCGUUAGGUGCUGCAACUGAGCAGCAGAAAGAAGCUGAUCCAUCUUGUAUUGAUGCUGCUGCUGCUGCUUCUGAGAAUGAGAAUGCAAAGGGUAUUGCAAAGUCUGAGGGUAUUGCAAAGUCUGAGGCCGUAGAUCUUGGCACUAGAAAUGUGGAGCAAACCCUUCCUGACAGUCUGUUUGCUUCACCAACAAAAGCCGCCGGAGAUUAUCAGUCUGAUUUCUCUCCACAGGAAGAGCUCAAUGAGAGUACUGCAGUUUCAACUAGCUCAUCUCAGAAGUUUGAAUCGACAACUGCUUCGGGUGAUAACAUGGCCUCCCUUUAAUAUUCUAAUAUCAAGGUAAUAAAAAUAGAAGAAGCGCGCAGGGGGAUCAUAUUAAUUAGGAAUUGCAGAUUUAUAGAAGCAUAUAGAAGAAGAAGAAAAGAAUCUUCUAGAUGUAUAGCUGAAUACACCUAGAUCAAGAGACUAGAUCCUAGAGAAGUACUAUCAAAACAAGGUCAACAUUAUCAUCAAUCAUCAAUCAAAAUACAUACUACUAACAGCAACCAAGCAAUACAUAUUGCAUACAUGGAUAGACAUAUUAGUUUAUAUAAUAGUAUAAGACUAGUUUUCUGUUCUUCCUUUUCCAUUUUCAUUUUACAAUCAUCAUCAUCAUCUUCAUUAUCAUGUGUUUCACCAAACUAAGACAGAACAAAAACAUUGUUGUUUUACUUUUAUGUAAUAUAGACCAUCUUAAGUAGCUA